GUGUCAGCAGCCGCGGUAAGACAGAGGGUGCAAACGUUGUUCGGAAUUACUGGGCGUAAAGCGUGUGUAGGCGGCCUUGCAAGUCGGAUGUGAAAGCCCCGGGCUCAACCCGGGAAGUGCACUCGAUACUGCAGGGCUCGAGUGUCGGAGAGGUUGGUGGAAUUCUCGGUGUAGAGGUGAAAUUCGUAGAUAUCGAGAGGAACACCGGUGGCGAAGGCGGCCAACUGGACGAACACUGACGCUGAGACACGAAAGCGUGGGGAGCAAACAGGAUUAGAUACCCUGGUAGUCCACGCCGUAAACGAUGGGUGCUAGGUGCUGCGGGCUUUGACUCUCGCUGUGCCGUAGCCAACGCGUUAAGCACCCCGCCUGGGAAGUACGGCCGCAAGGCUAAA
rnacentral:rRNA from 1 species